AUUCGUAUAGUUUAUAUUUUAAAACACUUUAUUUUCAAUAAAGAGAAGAAUUAAAUUCUUCGAAUA
rnacentral:tRNA from 1 species